rnacentral:tRNA from 1 species
GAGGGUAUAGCUCAGGGGUAGAGUGCACACCUAGCAUGUACAAAGUCCUGUGUUCAAUUCCCAGUACCUCCA